CCUACGGGAGGCAGCAGUGGGGAAUAUUGGACAAUGGGCGAAAGCCUGAUCCAGCCAUGCCGCGUGUGUGAAGAAGGCCUUCGGGUUGUAAAGCACUUUCAGUGGGGAAGGAAGCCUUGGGGCUAAUACCCUCGAGGAAGGACAUCACCCACAGAAGAAGCACCGGCUAACUCCGUGCCAGCAGCCGCGGUAAUACGGAGGGUGCGAGCGUUAAUCGGAAUUACUGGGCGUAAAGCGCGCGUAGGCGGUCUGAUAAGCCGGUUGUGAAAGCCCCGGGCUCAACCUGGGAACGGCAUCCGGAACUGUCAGGAUAGAGUGCAGGAGAGGAAGGUAGAAUUCCCGGUGUAGCGGUGAAAUGCGUAGAGAUCGGGAGGAAUACCAGUGGCGAAGGCGGCCUUCUGGACUGACACUGACGCUGAGGUGCGAAAGCGUGGGUAGCAAACAGGAUUAGAUACCCUAGUAGUC
rnacentral:rRNA from 1 species